rnacentral:misc_RNA from 1 species
GAUGAAGAACGUAGCGAAAUGCGAUAAGUAAUGUGAAUUGCAGAAUUCAGUGAAUCAUCGAAUCUUUGAACGCACAUUGCGCCCCCUGGUAUUCCAGGGGGCAUGCCUGUCCGAGCGUCAUUACAACCCUCAAGCUCAGCUUGGUGUUGGGCCCCGCCGCCCCGGCGGGCCCUAAAGUCAGUGGCGGUGCCGUCCGGCUCCGAGCGUAGUAAUUCUUCUCGCUCUGGAGGUCCGGUCGUGUGCUCGCCAGCAACCCCCAAUUUUUUUCAGGUUGACCUCGGAUCAGGUAGGGAUACCCGCUGAACUUAAGCAUAUCAAUAAGCGGAGGA